rnacentral:rRNA from 2 species
UGGGCGUAAGAGCUCGUAGGCGGUUUGUCGCGUCUGCUGUGAAAUCCCGAGGCUCAACCUCGGGCUUGCAGUGGGUACGGGCAGACUAGAGUGCGGUAGGGGAGAUUGGAAUUCCUGGUGUAGCGGUGGAAUGCGCAGAUAUCAGGAGGAACACCGAUGGCGAAGGCAGAUCUCUGGGCCGUAACUGACGCUGAGGAGCGAAAGCAUGGGGAGCGAACAGGAUUAGAUACCCUGGUAGUCCAUGCCGUAAACGUUGGGCGCUAGAUGUAGGGACCUUUCCACGGUUUCUGUGUCGUAGCUAACGCAUUAAGCGCCCCGCCUGGGGAGUACGGCCGCAAGGCUAAAACUCAAAGGAAUUGACGGGGGCCCGCACAAGCGGCGGAGCAUGCGGAUUAAUUCGAUGCAACGCGAAGAACCUUACCAAGGCUUGACAUACACCGGAAACGGCCAGAGAUGGUCGCCCCCUUGUGGUCGGUGUACAGGUGGUGCAUGGUUGUCGUCAGCUCGUGUCGUGAGAUGUUGGGUUAAGUCCCGCAACGAGCGCAACCCUCGUUCUAUGUUGCCAGCGGGUCAUGCCGGGGACUCAUAGGAGACUGCCGGGGUCAACUCGGAGGAAGGUGGGGAUGACGUCAAAUCAUCAUGCCCCUUAUGUCUUGGGCUUCACGCAUGCUACAAUGGCCGGUACAAAGGGCUGCGAUACCGUAAGGUGGAGCGAAUCCCAAAAAGCCGGUCUCAGUUCGGAUUGAGGUCUGCAACUCGACCUCAUGAAGUCGGAGUCGCUAGUAAUCGCAGAUCAGCAACGCUGCGGUGAAUACGUUCCCGGGCCUUGUACACACCGCCCGUCAAGUCAUGAAAGUCGGUAACACCCGAAGCCGGUGGCCUAACCCUUGUGGAAGAGCCGUCGAAGUGGGAUCGGUGAUA